UCUGAUGCGUGGAAGACCGCUCCGACCUUAAUGGUCGGGGAGGAAAGUCCGAGCACCACUGGAUCGCGGUGGUGGGUAACGCCCACCGUCUGGACGUUGCGAUUAGUCGUUUCAUCCGGACCGGGAAAGUGCCGCAGAAAAUAUACCGCCCGGGCCUGUAAGGGCUUGGGUAAGGGUGAAAUGGUGCGGUAAGAGCGCACCGCGGGCGUCGUGAGGCGCCCGGCAUGGUAAACCCCACCGGGUGCAAGGCCAAGCAGCGAUGAGGCUUGAUCCAGGCCGUUUGAAUCGCGGGUAGGCCGCUUUUCCCCAGGGAAAAUUCCCUUCGGAAAGAGCUCGUCUGUAAAGGCGGGUCAAGACAAAUGGUCUUCGCCUUAUCGCGGUGUGCCCGCCGCGACAAGGAACAGAACUCGGCUUACAGCGCAUCAGACAGG
rnacentral:RNase_P_RNA from 1 species